CCUAUGGGGGGCUGCAGUGGGGAAUAUUGGGCAAUGGGCGCAAGCCUGACCCAGCCACGCCGCGUGAAGGAAGAAGGCUUUCGGGUUGUAAACUUCUUUUGUCAGGGACGAAGCAAGUGACGGUACCUCACGAAUAAGCCACGGCUAACUACGUGCCUGCAGCAGCGGUAAUACGGAGGGGGCAAGCGUUAUCCGGAUUUACUGGGUGUAAAGGGCGUGUAGGCGGGACUGCAAGUCAGAUGUGAAAACCACGGGGUGAACCUGUGGCCUGCAUUUGACACUGUAGUUCUUGAGGACUGGAGAGGCAGACGGAAUUCCUGGUGUAGCGGUGAAAUGCGUAGAUAUUAGGAGGAACACCAGUGGCGAAGGCGGUCUGCUGGACAGCAACUGACGCUGAGGCGCGAAAGCGUGGGGAGCAAACAGGAUUAGAUACCCCGGUAGUC
rnacentral:rRNA from 1 species